CUCAGGUCAUCUGCCCGUCUUGCCCUCCCAAAGUGCUGGCAUUACAGGCAUGAGCCACUGUACCCAGCCAGAGAUCACUAACAUUUUGAAGUUAGAUAGUUCAUUCUUUCAACAACUCAGAGAGACAUUUGGAGGGGAGCAGUGGGAUCAUAUUUAGUUUUAGCAGAGUGGGUUGUUGAGAGGCAGGAGGGGGAGAGGGAGGCCAGUUGGGAGGCAGAGACUGUCACCACAGGGGACACAUAACCGAGGUCUGGAUUAAGGAGUUGGCAGUGGAAUGAAGAGGGACGAACAGAUUUUGGAUACAGAGCCGAUAGAAUUGCUGAUGGCUUGGUCGUGGGGAUACAGAAAAUAGUAAAUCAAGGGUGAUGCUGAAUUUGGGCUUAUGCAAUUGAGUGCCAUUUAUUGAGAUGGAGGAAGAUGGAAAAGGAAAAGAUUUAGGGGGAAAGUUAUGCAUUCUGUUUGGGCCAAGUUGAAACUUAAGAUGCCCAUUAGAUGUCGAUGUCUGUGAAUAAGCAGAUGCAUGUGUCAGUGGAGGUCUCAUUAGAGAGAUCAUCCACUUCCCCUCACUGUGUUUGUCCCCACACAGGAUUUCUCUAGUGCCACCGUCACUGACAAACUAUCUGGCUGACUAUACUUGAUCUGGUGUGGCAUCUCAUUCUUUUGUUCUUAUCUUUUAUCUUGGGCUCAUAUUUCAUUACCUACUCAGUGUGGGCUGAAUGAACAAUUAACAGAGUCUGAAAUGCGAAGUAGGAUGUUUGAUAACUAAAGAGUGUGAAGGAAACAAUGUAGAUUAAUUUGUGUCCCAAAUGUGUGGUAUUAUUUAGUGCUUUUUGAGAAAGCUAAAUGGAUUCUGUGAAUUUUAAUUGAUGUUUAACUUUUAAUUGUGUUCAUGUGGGGUGGCCAGUUGGAACUAUGCCUAAUAAGACUGAUGAGUGUACACACAUUUGCAUAUGGCAGGCCUUCCAAGGGACAGCCAGGGAGAGAGAGGCUUAAAGUAAAAGGAGGAAAACUGCAGGGAAUGGAUAAUAAGCUAAAGCACAUUUAUUUUCAGAAAAAAAUGUGAAAAAUUAUCAAAUACUUUUCUAUUCAUUUUAAAUAAUAUAGGUUUACUAUAAUAUUAUUCCUCUCGUUGGUGUUUUUCUAUUUUUGAUCUGUUUUAUUUUUAAGAAAAAAUGAUAAGAGGAGCUAGUUUAUUUACAAUGAAAGGAAUUCUGAUUUGCAUAAAUUCAUGGUUCAGAUUGUUAGCCAGAUCUGCAAACUGUUGUUUACUGCACAUCUAUUCUCCGUGAAGUACUUUGCUAAAUGCCAGAGGGGGUGCUACAGUAAUUAGGAUGCUUUUGGGCCAACUCAUUGGCUUAAGCAAUAAGGAAGUGUAUUGUCUUCCCUAAGAAGUGGGGCUGUCUCCAGGCCCAGUAUGCCAAGCUGCUGCUCUCCUCUGUGACUCUCAUGGCCCUGCCCCCUUACAAUGAUGGCUUCAUCUUUAGAUCAGGAGCAAGAUGGCUGUAGCAAUCCUAGCUAUCACAUUCAGAUUUGGUAACAUCCAAAGGGAAAAAAGGCAUCGUCUCUUCCUUGUGUGUCUUACAUGUGAAAUAAUCUCUCCCGGAAGCCCCCACUUAGAUUUUUCUCACAUCCCUUUCACCAGAUUGGAUCAUAAGUCCAUUUGUAAACCAGUCACUGGCUGAGGUAGUUGCCAUUGUUGGCUUAGAUCGGAGUAGGCAAACUACAGCUAGCUGCCUGUUUUUAUAAAUAAAGUUUUAUUGGCACAUCCCAUGCACACCCAUUCAUAUAUUAUCUUUUGCAUUGCAGUGGCAGAGUUGAGUAGUGUGGCAGAGACUGGCCCACAAAGCCUAAAAUAUUUACUGUGUGCCACUUUAUAAAACAAGGGCCAGUCUUUGGCUUUAAUCAUUUGGGAUGUGUU